ensembl:lncRNA
UUUAAUGGAUUGAUCAAGGCAAGGCAAGGCAACUUUAUUUAUAUAUUACUUUUCAUACACAAGGCAGACUCAAAGUGCUUCACAUAUUAACAUUGUCAUACAAUAAAAUAAAAUAAUAGAUAAGUAAAAGAAAACAUAUGCAAAGGAAUGGGUAAAAUAGAAAGUUAAAAAGGCAUUUUAGUAUUAAAAUAUAAAAUAAAGGCAAAGUGCAAUGUAUUUAAGAUUUAGCAGAAAGCUAAAGCAAACAUAAAAGUCUUCAGUCUUGUUUUAAAGGUGCUCAGAGUUGGGGCAAGUCUUAAAUCCUCUGGGAGUUUAUUCCAGCUAUUUGUUGCAUAGUAACUAUCCUGCUAUAUGAUCAGGUAUAAAUGAUAACUUAAACACAACAACAUUGAAAGAAUGUUUCAUCAGAGGAAUAUAACACGCAAACAGUUGGGAGGUUGAGAAAUUAAGGGCAAAAUAGGAUUUUAUUUUAAUUAAUUAUUUUAUUUUAUGUGGACAUGACAUAAUGUGCACAUAACACAUCAAUAGUUUAAAGAUAACAAACUGCACAGCAGCAGAUGCAGUGUUUGUGACUAAUCAAAAGAAAAAUGGAAAACAGUAAUUUACAUAUAGCUGACUACAGCUAUAUUUAAAUAUAGCAUACACAGUACAUAGUUUUUCAAAAAGUACUUGAAAAUGGUUGAUUACAACGUUAUAAUACAAAUAAAUUAACAAUAUUAAUAAAUAAUAGUGCAGCGUUAUUAACGGCGUUGACGCAAACCAAUUUGAACGGUGGUAAUUAUUUUUAUCGCAAGAUUAACGCUCUUUUGGCUUGGCAAACGUUGUCGUUUUUUCACCUGCUGUCUAGCAACAACUAGUCACGUUAGAAGAAAUACAACAUAUCACUCCCUCCAGGAAAUAAGCAACAAUUUUGCCGUGUUCCAAUACCCGUACUAUCCGCACUUACUAGCCAAAUUUUGAGUACGUAGUACGUUCCAAUUCAGAUCUGGCCGGGAUGUCGUACUCAAAACGGGCUAAUCGUUAAGUGUGGUUCGAAGGGCACUUUCCGUACUCGACGGCAGCCAUCUUAGCUACGUAGCGGAAGAGGCGGAGCCAGGAUGAGCCAAAGUCGGCGGGGGGGGGGAGUUUAUAGUGACCCUACGGGCUUCGGUGGGGUCUGGGCACGGCGCCUUCUCAACGAGCAGGUGUGCGCCUGCAGUCUCGCCCCCCAUGUGAUUUGGCGCCCCCCACAAAUAUGGCGCUCCGGCCGGCUGCCCGGUUCGCCCGUGCCUAAAACCGCCACUGAUGCGAUUCACCGUUACCGGAAAUUAGGCUGAAUCGCUAACGACUCCUCCACGUUCAGUCGAGUUUCCGGUGAUUAGAUUCACCGGAAACUCGACUGAACUGGGAGGAGUAGUUCAUGAAUCGUUUGUUCGUUCAGCCUGGUUUCCGGUAGCGGUAAAUCGCAUCAUGGAAUGGACCCCAUUGCACGGUUCUCAGCUGAGUCAGUCAGACUCAGUGGAGUUAGUGCUACCGGAAACUCGACUGAACGAACGAACGAACAAACGAUUCGCGAACGACUCCUCGUGGCGAACUGAAUCACGCGAACUGGGUCACGGAAACUAAUCAUAAAAUCCACCACUAGUCUCUACAUCUGAAUCACGCGCUUUUUCCAGUCAGGUGGGCGUGGCCUAUGUGAAGUGGGCGUGGCCGGUGACGUAAUGGCUCCGCCAUCCUCACCUGUCUAAAGGUGCUGCCAUCUGUGGCUGGAGUAGUUAUUGCAGCUUAAGUGUUCGAUCCUGCUUCCUAGUGGCUAUGUGAGGGUAAUGCAGCUUGUGUGUUAGAUCCUGCUUCCUAAUGGCUAUGUGGGGGCAGCUUAUGUGCUUAAAAUACGUAACAAAGUAUACUCAUGGAAGUACGGCUAUUGGAACACGGCACGUGGUUCUCGUUACUGGUGGAUUUAUUGCUGCUCCUUGCCAUCUCUCUGUCCACAAUCAUCCAUUGCAAUAUCCACCGUCGAACUACACAUGUGAUAAUGUAAAAUAGACACGGUUAGGCUACAUACGGUAAAAGGUUAACAUAAAUAUAUUCAGAAAAUAAAUGUUAUCUUGCUGUAUACCACGGCUCUACAGUGCGCCCAUUUCACUCGCAUUUGCGUGUGAAUAUUUCGUCGUGCGAACGAGAAAAACAAAACAGGAGCACGCGUGCGAGUGACUUCUCCACAGCGCACUAUGCUGUGCGUUCACACCAAACGCGAAGGGGCGAAACGAUUCCAUACAAAGCAACGAUACCAUUCGCAGCGCAACACUUUUGCCCGGCACGGGCGAGCGCGUUCACGUGGAUUUCAGGUGGAUUUGCAGCACGCCACUUUUGCUCGAGUUGAAAUAUUUAAACUUUGCCGCGACAUUCGCUUGAUGACAGCCAAUCAGCGUUCAACAGCGUGGCCACUGAGCGACGUGCGUAACGUAACAGCCAAUCGGUUUUCAACCGGCCAACCGUUCCCUGCAGUGCAGUCCGGGGUGAACCACAGCAUGGAGGAGAAAGUGAUUGUUGCCGUUUGCGACUCCCCGAGCUCUAUAUAGAAUAGUAUAUUUAAGCAAUAGAUCACGACAGGCUGUGGUAUGUGCUCAUUAUACCACUGUUAAGGGGCGUUGUCCGGCCCCGACGCGCAGCGGAGGGCCGGCGACCCCCCUUCAUCUGUUUCAUUCGGAUCAUUUGAUCCGAUCACAUCGGGCGUCCUAGCACUUAUGUAUACGCUCAUUAUACAACAGUUAGGAACCAAUCAGAUCGCUGGAUUUAGGCCCCCCCGUUGUAUAAAAUCGAAUAUAAUUGUAUUCUAUUAUAUUACGUAUUACCCUCCCAUAUGUGUUUGUGAUGUUUUUGAUGUGAUGCUUAUGUGUUGAGGUGUUUUUUUUGCUAAUCCCUACACUGUGCUCCCCUCAAAGGAGCAUAGUUUGGGGUAUUGACAAAAAGAAAAUACCCCUCGUCACCCUCUUGUUUAGCUUUUUUAACUUUCUUAUCUAACGUGGGCCGCAUGUUUCUUGUUUAACAAGCGCCUGACAGUCUCUCCGUCCUGUCUCCCCACACUGUCUUCUAUGUUUCUUGGACGGAAUGUAACUGGUCUUUUUCGUUGCUCUGUAACAUGUGCAAUGACAUUAAAGUUUAUUGAUUGGGGAGUGUUUCGACUGUUAUUUUUUGUGUUGAGGGCCAGGUUGUUUCUGCUGCACCAUGCUGCCCGCAGUUGGACUUCUUGCCAAUAUGCAGUCUCAUCAUUCCCGGUGAUGAGGCCGAGCACUUUUGUGUCGUCUGCCAAUUGUAUUACAUGGAUGUUGUUAGCCCUGCAGGCUGUGUGUCGCUGGAGGGAGACGUAGUACUGGAUCUGGUGCUGGAUGUUGCUUGACCUGCGGG